rnacentral:rRNA from 1 species
UCUUGCAAACUAAAGAUGGCGACCGGCGCACGGGUGAGUAACACGUAUCCAACCUGCCGAUAACUCGGGGAUAGCCUUUCGAAAGAAAGAUUAAUAUCCGAUAGUAUAUUAAAACCGCAUGGUUUACUAUUAAAGAAUUUCGGUUAUCGAUGGGGAUGCGUUCCAUUAGUUUGUUGGCGGGGUAACGGCCCACCAAGACUACGAUGGAUAGGGGUUCUGAGAGGAAGGUCCCCCACAUUGGAACUGAGACACGGUCCAA